rnacentral:rRNA from 1 species
AAUAGAAUAAAAUUCUAGGUAGAAUUAUGAUAUGUCUGCCUAUGUGUCUUGACCAAAUUACGUGCCAGCAGUCGCGGUAAUACGUAUAAUACUAGUGUUAUUCCCCGUUAAUAGGUUUAAAGGGUACCUAGACGGUAUAUCAAGCCUGCAAUAUGGGACUAAUGUACUAGAGUUACUUACGAGGGGGUAUUAAAGUACUGCUGGUGUAGAGAUGAAAUUCUGUCAUACCUCGUUUCACAAGAAAUACUAUGG